GACGAACGCUGGCGGCGUGCUUAACACAUGCAAGUCGAACGGAAAGGCCCCCUUGUGGGGUACUCGAGUGGCGAACGGGUGAGUAACACGUGAGUAACCUACCCUUGACUUUGGGAUAACUUCAGGAAACUGGGGCUAAUACCGGAUAGGAGCUCCUGCUGCAUGGUGGGGGUUGGAAAGUUUCGGCGGUUGGGGAUGGACUCGCGGCUUAUCAGCUUGUUGGUGGGGUAGUGGCUCACCAAGGCUUUGACGGGUAGCCGGACUGAGAGGGUGACCGGCCACAUUGGGACUGAGAUACGGCACAGACUCCUACGGGAGGGAGCAGUGGGGAAUAUUGCACGAUGGGCGGAAGCCUGAUGAAGCAACGCCGCGUGCGGGAUGACGGCCUUCGGGUUGUAAACCGCUUUCGCCUGUGACGAAGCGUGAGUGACGGUAAUGGGUAAAGAAGCCCCGGCUAACUACGUG
rnacentral:rRNA from 1 species